UACAGAGGGUGCGAGCGUUAAUCGGAAUGACUGGGCGUAAAGCGCGCGUAGGCGGUUAUACAAGUUGGGUGUGAAAUCCCUGGGCUUAACCUAGGAAUUGCAUUCAAAACUAUAUAGCUUGAGUGGGGUAGAGGUGAGUGGAAUUUCCGGAGUAGCGGUGAAAUGCGUAGAUACCGGAAGGAACACCAGUGGCGAAGGCGACUCACUGGACCUUAACUGACGCUGAGGUGCGAAAGCGUGGGGAGCAAACAGG
rnacentral:rRNA from 1 species